UUCAGUUGAAAAAGUACAAAAUUCCAGCUGAACUCAACUACAAACCUUUAAAUUCUAUUGGGAGUGAGUUAGACAGAAACAUGUAGUCUUUUAGUUAAACAGCUGCUAUGGGCAGAACUAAUCACCAAGCGACACAUAAAUGCCCAGGCUAGGCAUAGAAAUCGUAAUAGGGAGAAAAUAAAAUUGACUAAUUCAGUAUAGCAGGGAACAAAAGAUGAGAUCAAACGAAGGAGCGUUAUCUUAAACCCCAAAAGGCAUACACUAAACCCCUUAAUUUCCUCUUAAACCCGUUGUCGUUUCUCUAAGAGAAUCAAUUAUUGAAGCAAAUCGGAAAUUGUUCAAAAGAAAAAAGAAACAGACCUUUCCCGAAAUGACGAGCCAACAAUCCUUGGUCUUGUUGUGCUUUGCGACCUCCCCGAAACUGUGAAUUUUCCGAUCUGAAGCCAUUGUUCUAUUCACUGCGACCACAAAAUCAAAAAAAGCAGAAGACCCAGAAAAAUUAAAGUCAAACCCACUAUUCUAUGUUUGUUAAGAGACAAUAUAAGGGGGAGAGGAUCUAAAGAAUCGCGAAAGGAAACAGCAAUGAAUCAUAGGAAAAGAGAAUUGACGGAAACGUGAUUGCUAUGAUUUGAAGUGAAUCGGUGGAAAGAAAUUAUUGGUUGGUGAUGACAUCAAUACUCACCAAAGAAGAAAAGGGUUUGAUUCCGCUCCUACCCAGAAACAGAUCCUUCGCCACUCACACUCAAACCACACUCCUUUUCUCUAUAUUCGGUGACCGCCUACAUAGCUAUAUAUGCUUUCUUCUACAU
rnacentral:lncRNA from 1 species